GUGCUCGCUUCAGUAGCACAUAUACUAAAAUUGGAAUGAUACAGAGAAGAUUAGCAUGGUCCCUGCGCAAGGAUCCCAAAUUCAUGAAGUGGUCCAUUUUUUU